rfam:Rattus norvegicus chromosome 9, whole genome shotgun sequence.
GGGGAUUUAGCUCAGUGGUAGAGCACUUGCCUAGCAAGCAUAAGGCCCUGGGUUCAGUCCCCAGCUCCG